AAUGGGUCAGCGACUUAUAUUCUGUAGCAAGGUUAACCGAAUAGGGGAGCCGAAGGGAAACCGAGUCUUAACUGGGCGUUAAGUUGCAGGGUAUAGACCCGAAACCCGGUGAUCUAGCCAUGGGCAGGUUGAAGGUUGGGUAACACUAACUGGAGGACCGAACCGACUAAUGUUGAAAAAUUAGCGGAUGACUUGUGGCUGGGGGUGAAAGGCCAAUCAAACCGGGAGAUAGCUGGUUCUCCCCGAAAGCUAUUUAGGUAGCGCCUCGUGAAUUCAUCUCCGGGGGUAGAGCACUGUUUCGGCAAGGGGGUCAUCCCGACUUACCAACCCGAUGCAAACUGCGAAUACCGGAGAAUGUUAUCACGGGAGACACACGGCGGGUGCUAACGUCCGUCGUGAAGAGGGAAACAACCCAGACCGCCAGCUAAGGUCCCAAAGUCAUGGUUAAGUGGGAAACGAUGUGGGAAGGCCCAGACAGCCAGGAUGUUGGCUUAGAAGCAGCCAUCAUUUAAAGAAAGCGUAAUAGCUCACUGGUCGAGUCGGCCUGCGCGGAAGAUGUAACGGGGCUAAACCAUGCACCGAAGCUGCGGCAGCGACGCUUAUGCGUUGUUGGGUAGGGGAGCGUUCUGUAAGCCUGUGAAGGUGUGCUGUGAGGCAUGCUGGAGGUAUCAGAAGUGCGAAUGCUGACAUAAGUAACGAUAAAGCGGGUGAAAAGCCCGCUCGCCGGAAGACCAAGGGUUCCUGUCCAACGUUAAUCGGGGCAGGGUGAGUCGACCCCUAAGGCGAGGCCGAAAGGCGUAGUCGAUGGGAAACAGGUUAAUAUUCCUGUACUUGGUGUUACUGCGAAGGGGGGACGGAGAAGGCUAUGUUGGCCGGGCGACGGUUGUCCCGGUUUAAGCGUGUAGGCUGGUUUUCCAGGCAAAUCCGGAAAAUCAAGGCUGAGGCGUGAUGACGAGGCACUACGGUGCUGAAGCAACAAAUGCCCUGCUUCCAGGAAAAGCCUCUAAGCAUCAGGUAACAUCAAAUCGUACCCCAAACCGACACAGGUGGUCAGGUAGAGAAUACCAAGGCGCUUGAGAGAACUCGGGUGAAGGAACUAGGCAAAAUGGUGCCGUAACUUCGGGAGAAGGCACGCUGAUAUGUAGGUGAAGCGACUUGCUCGUGGAGCUGAAAUCAGUCGAAGAUACCAGCUGGCUGCAACUGUUUAUUAAAAACACAGCACUGUGCAAACACGAAAGUGGACGUAUACGGUGUGACGCCUGCCCGGUGCCGGAAGGUUAAUUGAUGGGGUUAGCGCAAGCGAAGCUCUUGAUCGAAGCCCCGGUAAACGGCGGCCGUAACUAUAACGGUCCUAAGGUAGCGAAAUUCCUUGUCGGGUAAGUUCCGACCUGCACGAAUGGCGUAAUGAUGGCCAGGCUGUCUCCACCCGAGACUCAGUGAAAUUGAACUCGCUGUGAAGAUGCAGUGUACCCGCGGCAAGACGGAAAGACCCCGUGAACCUUUACUAUAGCUUGACACUGAACAUUGAGCCUUGAUGUGUAGGAUAGGUGGGAGGCUU
rnacentral:rRNA from 1 species